GAUGAAGAACGUAGCGAAAUGCGAUAAGUAGUGUGAAUUGCAGAAUUCAGUGAAUCAUCGAAUCUUUGAACGCACAUUGCGCCCUUUGGUAUUCCUUAGGGCAUGCCUGUUCGAGCGUCAUUUAAACCUUCAAGCUCAGCUUGGUGUUGGGUGACUGUCCGCUUCACCGCGGACUCGCCUCAAAAUUAUUGGCGGCCGGUACAUUGGCUUCGAGCGCAGCAGAAACGCGAACUCGGGCCCGUCGUAUUGGCUCCCAGAAGCUAUCUUCUCAAUUUUGACCUCGGAUCAGGUAGGGAUACCCGCUGAACUUAAGCAUAUCAAUAAGCGGAGGA
rnacentral:misc_RNA from 1 species